rnacentral:rRNA from 1 species
CAGCAGCCACGGUAAUACGAAGGGGGCUAGCGUUGUUCGGAAUUACUGGGCGUAAAGGGCGCGUAGGCGGCCAUUCAAGUUAGAUGUGAAAGCCCUGGGCUCAACCUAGGAAUUGCAUUUGAUACUGUUUGGCUUGAGUUCGGGAGAGGUGAGUGGAAUUCCCAGUGUAGAGGUGAAAUUCGUAGAUAUUGGGAAGAACACCAGUGGCGAAGGCGGCUCACUGGACCGACACUGACGCUGAGACGCGAAAGCGUGGGGAGCAAACAGGAUUAGAUACCCGCGUAGUCCCUGUCUCUUAUAC